CUACACAUGCAGUCGAACGAAGUAGCAAUACUUAGUGGCAGACGGGUGAGUAACAUGUGGGUAUCUACCCUUUGGCCUGGAAUAACACGAGGAAACUUGUGCUAAUACCGGAUAAGUCUUUACAGAGAAAGCUUUAUGCACCAUUGGAUGAGCCCGCACUUGAUUAGUUUGUUGGUAGGGUAAUGGCCUACCAAGACUAUGAUCAAUAGCUGAUUUGAGAGGAUGAUCAGCCACAUUGGGACUGAGACACGGCCCAAACUCCUACGGGAGGCAGCAGUGGGGAAUCUUGCACAAUGGAGGAAACUCUGAUGCAGCGAUGCCGCGUGAGUGAAGAAGGCCUUUGGGUUGUAAAGCUCUUUCGUCGGGGAAGAAAAUGACUGUACCCGAAUAAGAAGGUCCGGCUAACUUCGUGCCAGCAGCCGCGGUAAUACGAAGGGACCUAGCGUAGUUCGGAAUUACUGGGCUUAAAGAGUUCGUAGGUGGUUGAAAAAGUUAGUGGUGAAAUCCCAGAGCUUAACUCUGGAACUGCCAUUAAAACUUUUCAGCUAGAGUAUGAUAGAGGAAAGCAGAAUUUCUAGUGUAGAGGUGAAAUUCGUAGAUAUUAGAAAGAAUACCAAUUGCGAAGGCAGCUUUCUGGAUCAUUACUGACACUGAGGAACGAAAGCAUGGGUAGCGAAGAGGAUUAGAUACCCUGGUAGUCCACGCCGUAAACGAUGGAUACUAGCUGUUCGACCAACAUUGGUUGGUUGAGUGGCUAAGCGAAAGUGAUAAGUAUCCCACCUGGGGAGUACGGUCGCAAGACUGAAACUCAAAGGAAUUGACGGGGGCCCGCACAAGCGGUGGAGCAUGUGGUUUAAUUCGAUGAUACGCGAGGAACCUUACCAGGCUUAAAUGUAAGUUGCAUGAUUUAGAGAUAGAUCUUUCUUCGGACUACUUACAAGGUGCUGCAUG
rnacentral:rRNA from 1 species